ensembl:lncRNA
UCACAUGGAGGCCCCGGUGCCGGCGCCUCAGUCGUCCAGGUGCUGCUCCUCCCAGGUGGACGUGGGGAUGGCGCUGUAAGGGUCCAUGAUGACCCUGGCGCAGCGAACGAUCAUCACCACGAGGAAGAGGCAGAGGAAGACGAAGCAGGCCAGGGUCAGCCCUUUGUCGACAUCCACGUACACAGGCUCCGGCGUGGGCUCCUCCAUGUCGGGGCUGCGGCCGCGGGCUCCUCCGGCUCGGGGUUGACAGGAUUGGAGAAGUGGAAACCAACCAAGGGCACGCAAGAACACGACGUCUGGCCAGCAGACGAGGCGUGACUCACUGGCAGACUGUCAGAAAAAGAAGUUUCCUUAAAAGGGAACCGAAAACCCAAAAGAGGGAGGACCGUCAGCUUCGGCGCUGAUGCAGGUGGACGAGGCGGCCGUAUAAACGAGGAGAGGGGGGAGACAUUGCACAAAGACAGGUAGAAAACACUUGGAAGAAGCACCUUCGCUUUUGGAAGGCAGGGCCCUCACUGGCCAGCGCCCAGGGCGGCACUCGCUUUCCACGAGUGAGGAGGAACAGGUGCAAAAAAGAAGAGGAGCCCACUUGGGAGGCUUUCCAUGACUCCUCGUCUGCUCAGAGCCCGCCUUCUCUCCGUUUCGCUUCUCCGAUAUCCCCACGUGUGGACCUGUGCCUGCGUGGAUUCAGCCUGCUUUGGGGCCCCCUCUGUGUGUCAGCCACCAUGUCCCCGGUCGCCUGCUCUGCUCAUGGCUCCCGUGUGCAAACGUGGACAUGGAGUCCGGGAUCAGGUGCACACUGUCGUGAAGGUUUCACCGGCUACCAGGUCGUAGGAGAAAUCCAGAACACAGUUUGUCUGACUUGUCAGCUACUGAUCUUAAGAAUAUAUUCUACUGGGAGGCCCGGGGGCUCAGUCGGUUAGGCAUCUGCCUUUGGUUCAGGUCAUGAUCCUGGGGUCCUGGGAUUGAGCCCCAUGUCCGGCUCCCUGCUCAGCAGGGAGUCUCCCUCUGCCUCUGCUCCCCUCCUUGUGCUCUCCCUCUCUCUCAAAUAAGUAAAAUCUUUUAAGAAAAUAUCUUUAAAAAAAAAGAAUACACUCUCUUGGCCUCAUAUGCUUGGAGACUCACGGUCAGGCCUUUGAUUCCCCAUUAAAGACCGUCUAGUCUUUCAGCACUUGGCUCUGCGCCGGGAGCAGCUAUGCUGCCCAGUCGCCUUCCCCCAUGCAGGUCCUCCUCUCACCACCCCCCUGCCCCGUCAGCCGGAUCCUCUGUGUGCACCUGAACGGUGUCCUGAUGGUCUGACAUGAUAAACUGACAUCCACGGAGACAAGAUGAAGCUCACAGGACACACGGCAUCGCGGACGUGAAAGACACCUGGUUAAUGAGGUCAGCCAACGCCUGUGAGGACUGCCAACGCCUUGGGGUCUUCGAGCUCGUAAAUGAAAGAGCUCUGGCGAGACUGCCUCACGUAGGACCCGUUACAUGAUGUUACCGAUCAUGAGCUGUGUAGCUGAAAGAAACAUUUCUAAACUAAGCCAAUAAAAACAAAAGUUUGGCCCA